rnacentral:misc_RNA from 1 species
UACGCUUUCUGAACUUUGUUAUUCAAGCCCUAAAUUGUUUUCAGUGAUUUGUCAAAGUUCUUAAAAUGUUAUCCAACCUUUUAUUCCUAAAAUUAAGUGUGACAGCAAUUCUGUGCAUAUAUAUGAUGUUACCAUUGAUUCUUUUUCUCGCCCCUCAAGACGAGGGGCGCCCAUUUUAUCAAAAAUUAAUGGCCUUUUUGAUCAUUUCUUUGUGGCCAAUAUUUACUUUUGUUUCGAUAGUCACCAUAUUAUUGUCACAACGAUAUCCGAAAUUAACUCUCGCAAGUGCUGUUGUUUGGCUAGUAAUAUCCCAUUUAACUCUCAUGUUUUUACUUCUUAACUGUGGAUUCGUGAAUGCUGUGCAUUGGUACGAUUUUCCGGACUUGUCUUUCAAACUCUUGAAAAACUGCAAACUAUCCUUAUUCAAGUAUCCUGAAAUGGGAUGGAUUCUUUUCGGCGAAAGUGAGUCGGUAAUUUUAAUGGAAUUUAUUGGAUUCAUAUUUUUUAAAUUAUAGUAUAUGCUUGGCUAACUUUCACUUUAAUAAUAAUAUAUCAUAUAGCAUGGCCUCUCCUAUCGCCAGCUAAGGAAUAGCCAGGAUCGUCCUAUUGUUUUUCCUGUUGUGAGAAAUUAAAUUCAUAUAAAAUAUUUUAUUAUUCAUUGCCAUGUUUAAAAUCCAUCCGAACUCAUCAAGAUCGACAUCCAAAACUGGUGAGGCCAUUUAGAUUUCUGAUAUGCAUACCAUAAGCUAUUUGGAGCGAGAAACUAAACCAGUAAAAAUCUUUGAUCUGGCUGACAUAGCAUUCUUUGGAGCAUGCAACUUUUGUGGCUUGGCAGGAAUUUCUUUGUUACUGGGAGCUAUUGUGUUUCAUAGUGCAUUAAUAUGGAUAGCCGUGGGAAUACUUUUUUCUGUAACCAUUAUAGUUGGAAUAUACGUGUUUAUUUUGACAAUAACACAUUGGGAUGCGCAUAAUAUCCUGUUGGAUUUUGCGUAUAUCCUUACAGCUAUUUUAUUGACGGGAUCUCUCGUAUUUAUUACUGUAUCACUGUAUUUCUUUGGAAGUGAUAUGAAACAUGAAGAGGCCUCCCGUGACUGGAGAACACCAAAUUGUAAAGGUAAACGAGUGUUUAGGUGGUUUCAUGUAAGAGGAGUAUGGCGGUUGUUUAGAAGGAGG